GUGUGUCAAUAAUGGGUGCAAAAUUAUGAGGGUAAUAGAAUAUUUCAAAUACACCUGGGAUAAUCUGCUAAGGACUUUCUUAAUAGUUUAUAUUACAUAAACGGUGGAAAUUCCUGUCUUUGAUAUUCAGAUGCACAGAAGAGGACUAGCACUAAAUGGAAAAUAUCCGUUUUUACCCGCUUGGAUACUAUCCGUGACAAAAAUUCAGCCACGAUUUGCAUCGGAAAACAAAAUAUGGAUAAUGUUGUGGAAUUUUAGUAAAAACGAUACUAUAUGUUAUACAAUGGAAUUACUACUCGCAAAUAAAAGCUGUUUAUUAAUAAUGAGAUA